UACGAAGGGGGCUAGCGUUGUUCGGAAUCACUGGGCGUAAAGCGCACGCAGGCGGAUCGUUAAGUCAGGGGUGAAAUCCCGAGGCUCAACCUCGGAACUGCCUUUGAUACUGGCGAUCUUCGAGUCCGGGAGAGGUGAGUGGAAUUCCUAGUGUAGAGGUGAAAUUCGUAGAUAUUAGGAAGAACACCAGUGGCGAAGGCGGCCCGCUGGGCAGUGGCUGACGCUGAGGCGCGACAGCGUGGGGAGCAAACAGG
rnacentral:rRNA from 1 species